GAUGAAGAACGCAGCGAAUUGCGAUAAGUAAUGUGAAUUGCAGAAUUCAGUGAAUCAUCGAAUCUUUGAACGCACAUUGCGCCCGCCAGUAUUCUGGCGGGCAUGCCUGUUCGAGCGUCAUUUCAACCAUCAAGCCCCCGGCUUGUGUUGGGGACCUGCGGCUGCCGCAGGCCCUGAAAAGCAGUGGCGGGCUCGCUGUCACACCGAGCGUAGUAGAUUUCAUCUCGCUCAGGGCGUGCUGCGGGUUCCGGCCGUUAAACCACCUUCAUAACCCAAGGUUGACCUCGGAUCAGGUAGGAAGACCCGCUGAACUUAAGCAUAUCAAUAACGGAGGA
rnacentral:misc_RNA from 1 species